UUGUUUCCCCGAGGGUCCGGAGGCGGGGCUGCAAAGUCCAAACUCUGAAAUCUGGAAGCCAGAGAGCCAGGGAAGGACAGAGAACUUGUGUUUCAGUCCUGAGCUGGCUGGCCUGGAGACUAGCGGGGUUGCUUGGCUCUAAUGGCCAGAGGCUAGGGAGAAGGACUGGAGGUGGGGGUGGGGGGGACCCCUGAGCUGAGGGAGGAGCGCUUGAGGAUGGGCUUCUGGGUUUGAAGGAGGAGGGCUUGGUCUGAACUCUGGAGUCUGAGGGAGGAGGACUUAGGUGGGCCUGGGGCCGGGACCAGGCCCCUGGAACACCAUGCCACCUCUGCUGUCCCUGCUCUGGAAUGUAUCCUUGGAGCCCUGACCUCUGCACCAAUCUCAUCUUUAACCAACUGGCUACCUGAUACCCUGACUUGGAUUUCCAGAGGCAUCACCAGAUGGGCACGUCCAAAAGAGAACCUCUGAUUCCUCUCACCUAAAGCCUGUCCAAUAUACAGCGGUGCGACUUCAGCUCAGAUUCCUCUCUUCUUUUCACCGUAGCUUCACGAUGUCGCCCUGCCCCCAGGCCUAGCUCACCAUCGCUGUGGACACACUCGGGAAAAUUCCAUGCCCAUAGUGCUGACUUCCCCUUUUGAUUUGGUUGUUGUUGUUGAUAGAGUCCCACGUAGCUCAAGCUGGCCUUGAACUCCUGAUCCUCCUACCUCCGUCUCCCAAAGGUUUACAGGCCUGAGCCACCAUGCCUUUUAUACAGGGGUGGGGAUGCAACGAAGGGUCUCCUGCAUACUGGGGAAGUGCUGAGCUACAUCCUCAGGACCCCCAGUUUUGUUUGCAAGACAGAGUCUCAUGGAGCCAACCUUGAACUCCUCCCGAGUGCAGUGCCGGAGUACAGGCAUGCUCCCACCCCCACCCAGCCCUCCUUCUG